CUCCACCGGAAAAAGAAGAGUGGCGAACGGGUGAGUAACACGUGGGUAACCUGCCCAUCAGAAGGGGAUAACACUUGGAAACAGGUGCUAAUACCGUAUAACAAUCAAAACCGCAUGGUUUUGAUUUGAAAGGCGCUUUCGGGUGUCGCUGAUGGAUGGACCCGCGGUGCAUUAGCUAGUUGGUGAGGUAACGGCUCACCAAGGCCACGAUGCAUAGCCGACCUGAGAGGGUGAUCGGCCACAUUGGGACUGAGACACGGCCCAAACUCCUACGGGAGGCAGCAGUAGGGAAUCUUCGGCAAUGGACGAAAGUCUGACCGAGCAACGCCGCGUGAGUGAAGAAGGUUUUCG
rnacentral:rRNA from 1 species